rnacentral:lncRNA from 1 species
UCACAAUCAUUAUUGUUAUCUCAAAUUGAUCUUAGUAUUACUAUUAAAACAAGAAGGAAAAAUGCGUAAGGGCACAAAUAUAAGUAAUCCUUUUUAGAUGUCUGUUUAGGGGUGGUAGAAAUCCACCUAACUCAGGCAAUUCCCUAAAGCACGUGAAUUGGCCAGGCAUGAGAAGAAUAGCGGCCGGGGUUCAUUGGGGGAGCCGAGCUUGCAAAACGGCUGGGCAUGGCUGGAGAAAUAUGGGCCUUGCGAGACGUAGCCGGGCAGAACAAGUGUGGAAGAGAUUACGAUAGCCUUAAUUCUCUUUCAGAAAGAGGCUCUGGAUUCGCUACAAGUACCACCAAGUGAAAGUUAGGUCCCACGUGGCGUAGGUUAUCCGGCGUUGGGACAGGCCCCAUACGUGGCGUUGGUUGUACCGGCGUAUGGGGAGAUUUGUAAUAUGAUGUUCAGGUCUCACGUGGCGUAGGUUAUCCGGCGUUGAGACAGGCCCCAUACGUGGCGUUGGUUGUACCGGCGUAUGAGGAGAUUAUGUGAUAUUGUGUUGAGGUCGCACGUGGCGUAGGUUAUCCGGCGUGUCGACAGACCCCAUACGUGGCGUUGGUUGUACCGGCGUAUGAGGAGAUUUGUGAUAUGAUGUUGAGGUCCCGCGUGGCGUAGGUUAUCCGGCGUUGGGACAGGCCCCAUACGUGGCGUUGGUUGUACCGGCGUAUGGAGAGAUAUGUGAUAUGAUGUGCAGAUCUCGCGUGGCGUAGGUUAUCCGACUUUGAGACAGACCCCAUACGUGGCGUUGGUUGUACCGGCGUAUGGGGAGAUUAUAUGAAAUACAGAGAAAUGAAAUAAG